AACGAACGCUGGCGGCAGGCUUAACACAUGCAAGUCGAGCGCCCCGCAAGGGGAGCGGCAGACGGGUGAGUAACGCGUGGGAAUCUACCCAUCUCUACGGAAUAACGCAUGGAAACGUGUGCUAAUACCGUAUACGUCCUUCGGGAGAAAGAUUUAUCGGAUAUGGAUGAGCCCGCGUUGGAUUAGCUAGUUGGUGGGGUAAAGGCCUACCGAGGCGACGAUCCAUAGCUGGUCUGAGAGGAUGAUCAGCCACACUGGGACUGAGACACGGCCCAGACUCCUACGGGAGGCAGCAGUGGGGAAUAUUGGACAAUGGGCGCAAGCCUGAUCCAGCCAUGCCGCGUGAGUGAUGAAGGCCCUAGGGUUGUAAAGCUCUUUCACCGGUGAAGAUAAUGACGGUAACCGGAGAAGAAGCCCCGGCUAACUUCGUGCCAGCCGCCGCAGUAACAC
rnacentral:rRNA from 1 species